CUGAAGCUGCGAGGAUAACUCUUGCAUCUCUGGAGGUGCAAGGCGAUAAGGCACCUUAGCGAUAGGCGCAGUCCCCGGAACCAAAUCGAUACUGAACUCCACUUGCCUCACAGGAGGCACACUCGGCAACUCCUCAGGAAAUACAUCCGGGAACUUACGCACUAUCGGAACCUCCUCAACUGACCUCGGUCUCUUGGAAUCCACCCGCGUAUCCAUCAUAUACACCACAAAACCCUUACAUCCCCNCUCGGUCUCUCGGAAUCCACCCGCGUAUCCAUCACAUACGCCACAAAACCCUUACAGCCCUGCUGUAGACACUGCCUCGCCCUAGCGGCCGAACAAAACGCUGAUCCAGAACGUGUACCCUCGCCGUACACCGUAAGAACUCCCCCACUAGGGUCUCGUAUGGUCACCAGCUGUCGCUCGCAGUCGAUAACCGCACCGAAUCUGCUCAACCAGUCCAUGCCCACAAUGACACAGACAUCACCCAUCGCAAUAGGAACCAAAUCAAUCGGGAACUCAACACCGAAAAUCUCGACUACGCACCCUCGGAGAACCUCCAUGGCAUAUAUCACCCUCUCGUCAGCUAUGGAAACUCUCAGAGGCCGACUCAACGCCUCACGACUAACACUGAUAUGCUGACUAAAAGCCAAAGAUACAAAAGACCGACUCGCACCCGAGUCAAAUAACACCAAGGCAGGUACAGAAUUCACAAGAAAAGAACCUACGCAUAACAUAAUAUAAUCAUAAUAUGUCAACAUCAAAAUAAAUACACGAAAGAAUACAUACCAUCCACGGCAUCGGGCGCUGCGAACCUCCUCCGCGGUCAACUG
rnacentral:lncRNA from 1 species